rnacentral:lncRNA from 1 species
AAUACAAGGGCAGUGUGGGUUCUUGAGAAGUUCUACAUUGCACCUUCAAUCUGAGAUGAUCUCAUCUGCCAUUUGGCAAAGAGAAGCAUCUCUCUUAGAAACUCUCGAGCUCUUGUGGACACUGGUAUUCAAAAGAAGAUUUGAUAUGGUAUGAAAGUGGUCUGAAAGGUGCUACCGUAGUGCACUAAUUAACAAGUCUACACAGUAUCAAAGCAUGAUUGGCCUAAGCAAGUUUAUCAGAUAAGAGAAGUCUUCAUAUUUACUAUUCCAACUUGUCACUGCCACUGCUGAAGACUUCUUUACUUUCACUGCAUUAUUCUACUGAAGAUGACAAGCUGGCAUGUCAUUUUCAUGAACUGCUUUCAAGAUCUUCUAAACAUGACAGUCUGCUGAAAUGCUGUCGCAGAUCAUGGUACUCUCGAUGUCUUAGCCAACCCAGAGUAUGGAAGACCACAAAGAAAGAAGCCAAUCACAGUGAUUCUCA